CUUUUAUCCAGAGCGAUGGAGGGAUCGGCCCUGCGAAGUCGCAGCAACCCACAAAAAGCCUCUGCUCAUCACCAGAUGGCUUUUUGCAAGGUGCUAAUUCCGGCCCGACUGCUGAACG
rnacentral:ncRNA from 2 species